GGCGGACGGGUGAGUAACACGUGGGUAACCUGCCCUAAAGUGGGGAUAACAUUUGGAAACAGAUGCUAAUACCGCAUAAAACCUAACACCGCAUGGUGUAGGGUUGAAAGAUGGUUUCGGCUAUCACUUUAGGAUGGACCCGCGGUGCAUUAGUUAGUUGGUGAGGUAAAGGCUCACCAAGACCGUGAUGCAUAGCCGACCUGAGAGGGUAAUCGGCCACACUGGGACUGAGACACGGCCCAGACUCCUACGGGAGGCAGCAGUAGGGAAUCUUCCACAAUGGACGAAAGUCUGAUGGAGCAACGCCGCGUGAGUGAAGAAGGUUUUCGGAUCAUAAAACUCUGUUGUUGGAGAAGAAUGUAUCUGAUAGUAACUGAUCAGGUAGUGACGGUAUCCAACCAGAAAGCCACGGCUAACUACGUG
rnacentral:rRNA from 1 species